ACGAAGGGUGCGAGCGUUGUUCGGAAUUAUUGGGCGUAAAGCGCACGUAGGCGGCUGGGUAAGUCUGUCUGUGAAAGCCCGGGGCUCAACCCCGUGGAUUGCAGGGGAUACUGCCUGGCUGGAGACAAGCAGAGGUUGGUAGAAUUCCGGGUGUAGCGGUGGAAUGCGUAGAGAUCCGGAGGAAUACCAGAGGCGAAGGCGGCCAACUGGGCUUGUUCUGACGCUGAGGUGCGAAAGCGUGGGGAGCGAACAGGA
rnacentral:rRNA from 1 species